rnacentral:rRNA from 1 species
UGUGCCAGCCGCCGCGGUAAUACGGAGGGUGCAAGCGUUAUCCGGAUUUAUUGGGUUUAAAGGGUCCGUAGGCGGACUUAUAAGUCAGUGGUGAAAGCCUGUCGCUUAACGAUAGAACUGCCAUUGAUACUGUAAGUCUUGAGUAUAUUUGAGGUAGCUGGAAUAAGCAGUGUAGCGGUGAAAUGCAUAGAUAUUACUUAGAACACCAAUUGCGAAGGCAGGUUACCAAGAUAUAACUGACGCUGAGGGACGAAAGCGUGGGGAGCGAACAGGAUUAGAUACCCUGGUAGUCCACGCCGUAAACGAUGCUAACUCGUUUUUGGAGCGCAAGCUUCAGAGACCAAGCGAAAGUGAUAAGUUAGCCACCUGGGGAGUACGCUCGCAAGAGUGAAACUCAAAGAAAUUGAAAGGG